AGCUACAAACGUAUGUAUUUUUCUCUACCUUUCUCUACAAAGGUUGGGGAUUCGACAGGCCUUCCGACAGGUGGUUAUUGAUGUCGAAGGUCAGGUCGGACAUGUCCUAGAUAUAUACUUGGUCGGACCUUGUGGUAGGUCGGACACUGAGAUGGUAGACGUGAUCAAUAUUUUGUUAAUUACUUGACCUUGGACAGGUUCGAGGUGGACCUGAAACCCAGAUGUGUCCAGGUCUACACAUUUAUGUCCUCCACGUGGCGUGAUGAUUUCACCCUGAACAGAAUCGAUGGAUCCCACUAAUGCAAUCGAUCCUGCGUGGAAAGACGAUCUUGCACAGCCAACCAAGCGAUGAAAGAAUGCUUAGGGAUGUUGCCCCUAAACCACAGCAAUGAAGCCGCAAGGAAUAGGGUGCUGAGAUAGUUGUAAAACACCCAACGCGCCGAGAAGGUGCCCGAAGCUACAGCAACCCAGACUGGCACAUAAUUUCUGUCGACCAAGGCCUGCACAGUAGCCACCUCAAGUAAAAGCUCAAGAAGAUCCACAUAAACCCAAGAAGAGCCAUUAAUAAAGAGGAAAUCAGAUAUCGUAGCCUUUGAAGAACUUGCAGCAUCAUAAAUAAGCCGAUUCCCAAAUCUCGGGAAAAUAGGCCCCCUAGGAGCAAGACAUCAUGCCACACAAAACAACGCUGAUCAUCCCCAACAGAGACUCUAACCAGGGGUCAAAAAGCAUCUCGAACUCCUAGAAUUUCCCUCCAGUACCAGGACGAGGCAAGGACCGAACUAUCCAAAAACACGACCCCCGCUUUGAAAGUACAUGGAUUAAAUUGUAACAAACUAAGUCCGGAGACUAACUCGUUAAUAUAGCAAAAUAACAAGAACAAAAUGUAUUUUUUGACCUUCUUUUUUAUCUUUUGGAGUUAUAAAACUUAUUUGUUUCCUAUUGAAA